AUGAACGCUGGCGGCGUGCCUAAUACAUGCAAGUCGAGCGAACAGACGAGGAGCUUGCUCCUCUGACGUUAGCGGCGGACGGGUGAGUAACACGUGGAUAACCUACCUAUAAGACUGGGAUAACUUCGGGAAACCGGAGCUAAUACCGGAUAAUAUAUUGAACCGCAUGGUUCAAUAGUGAAAGACGGUUUUGCUGUCACUUAUAGAUGGAUCCGCGCCGCAUUAGCUAGUUGGUAAGGUAACGGCUUACCAAGGCGACGAUGCGUAGCCGACCUGAGAGGGUGAUCGGCCACACUGGAACUGAGACACGGUCCAGACUCCUACGGGAGGCAGCAGUAGGGAAUCUUCCGCAAUGGGCGAAAGCUUGACGGAGCAACGCCGCGUGAGUGAUGAGGGUCUUCGGAUCGUAAAACUCUGUUAUUAGGGAAGAACAAAUGUGUAAGUAACUAUGCACGUCUUGACGGUACCUAAUCAGAAAGCCACGGCUAACUACGUG
rnacentral:rRNA from 1 species